AGAAUCAACGCUGGCGGCGUGCCUAACACAUGCAAGUCGCACGAGAAAGGGGAGCAAUCCCUGAGUAAAGUGGCGCACGGGUGAGUAACACGUGAAUAAUCUACCUCCGAGUGGGGAAUAACUGAGAGAAAUCUUAAGCUAAUACCGCAUAACACUUACGAGUCAAAGCAGCAAUGCGCUUGGAGAGGAGUUCGCGGCCGAUUAGUUAGUUGGCGGGGUAAUGGCCCACCAAGACGAUGAUCGGUA
rnacentral:rRNA from 1 species